UAGUGGGGGAUAACCUGGGGAAACUCAGGCUAAUACCGCAUACGUCCUACGGGAGAAAGCAGGGGAUCUUCGGACCUUGCGCUAUCGGAUGAGCCUAUGUCGGAUUAGCUAGUUGGUGAGGUAACGGCUCACCAAGGCCGCGAUCCGUAGCUGGUCUGAGAGGAUGAUCAGCCACAUCGGGACUGAGACACGGCCCGAACUCCUACGGGAGGCAGCAGUGGGGAAUAUUGGACAAUGGGCGAAAGCCUGAUCCAGCCAUGCCGCGUGUGUGAAGAAGGCCUUCGGGUUGUAAAGCACUUUCAGUGGGGAAGAAAUCCUCAGGGCCAAUACCCCUGAGGGAGGACAUCACCCACAGAAGAAGCACCGGCUAACUCCGUGCCAGCAGCCGCGGUAAUACGGAGGGUGCAAGCGUUAAUCGGAAUUACUGGGCGUAAAGCGCGCGUAGGCGGCGUGAUCAGCCGGUUGUGAAAGCCCCGGGCUCAACCUGGGAACGGCAUCCGGAACUGUCACGCUAGAGUGCAGGAGAGGAAGGUAGAAUUCCCGGUGUAGCGGUGAAAUGCGUAGAGAUCGGGAGGAAUACCAGUGGCGAAGGCGGCCUUCUGGACUGACACUGACGCUGAGGUGCGAAAGCAUGGGUAGCAAACAGGAUUAGAUACCCUGGUAGUCCAUGCCGUAAACGAUGUCGACUAGCCGUUGGGGUCCUUGUGACCUUUGUGGCGCAGUUAACGCGAUAAGUCGACCGCCUGGGGAGUACGGCCGCAAGGUUAAAACUCAAAUGAAUUGACGGGGGCCCGCACAAGCGGUGGAGCAUGUGGUUUAAUUCGAUGCAACGCGAAGAACCUUACCUACUCUUGACAUCGUGCGAACUUUCCAGAGAUGGAUUGGUGCCUUCGGGAACGCACAGACAGGUGCUGCAUGGCCGUCGUCAGCUCGUGUUGUGAAAUGUUGGGUUAAGUCCCGUAACGAGCGCAACCCCUAUCCCUAUUUGCCAGCGAUUCGGUCGGGAACUCUAGGGAGACUGCCGGUGACAAACCGGAGGAAGGUGGGGAUGACGUCAGGUCAUCAUGGCCCUUACGAGUAGGGCUACACACGUGCUACAAUGGCCGGUACAAAGGGUUGCGAAGCCGCGAGGUGUAGCUAAUCCCGAAAAGCCGGUCUCAGUCCGGAUCGGAGUCUGCAACUCGACUCCGUGAAGUCGGAAUCGCUAGUAAUCGUGAAUCAGAAUGUCACGGUGAAUACGUUCCCGGGCCUUGUACACACCGCCCGUCACACCAUGGGAGUGGACUGCACCAGAAGUGGUUAGCUUAACCUUCGGGAGAGCGAUCACCACGGUGUGGCUCAUGACUGGGGUGAAGUCGUAACAAGGUAGCCGUAGGGGAACCUGCGGCUGGAUCACCUCCUUA
rnacentral:rRNA from 1 species